rnacentral:rRNA from 1 species
CCUACGGGCGGCUGCAGUGGGGAAUAUUGGACAAUGGGGGCAACCCUGAUCCAGCCAUGCCGCGUGUGUGAAGAAGGCCCUCGGGUUGUAAAGCACUUUCAGUGAGGAAGAACGCCUGGUGGUUAAUACCCUUCAGGAAAGACAUCACUCACAGAAGAAGCACCGGCUAACUCCGUGCCAGCAGCCGCGGUAAUACGGAGGGUGCGAGCGUUAAUCGGAAUUACUGGGCGUAAAGCGCGCGUAGGUGGCUUGAUAAGCCGGUUGUGAAAGCCCCGGGCUCAACCUGGGAACGGCAUCCGGAACUGUCAAGCUAGAGUGCAGGAGAGGAAGGUAGAAUUCCCGGUGUAGCGGUGAAAUGCGUAGAGAUCGGGAGGAAUACCAGUGGCGAAGGCGGCCUUCUGGACUGACACUGACACUGAGGUGCGAAAGCGUGGGUAGCAAACAGGAUUAGAUACCCGGGUAGUC